rnacentral:rRNA from 1 species
GUAGGUGGCAAGCGUUGUCCGGAAUUAUUGGGGCGUAAAGCGCGCGCAGGCGGUUCUUUAAGUCUGAUGUGAAAGCCCACGGGCUCAACCGUGGAGGGUCAUUGGAAACUGGAGAACUUGAGUACAGAAGAGGAAAGCGGAAUUCCACGUGUAGCGGUGAAAUGCGCAGAGAUGUGGGGGAACACCAGUGGCGAAGGCGGCUUUCUGGUCUGUAACUGACGCUGAGGCGCGGAAGCGUGGGGAGCAAACAGGAUUAGAUACCCUGGUAGUCCACGCCGUAAACGAUGAGUGCUAAGUGUUAGGGGGUUUCCGCCCUUAGUGCUGCAGCUAACGCAUUAAGCACUCCGCCUGGGGAGUACGGCCGCAAAGGCUG